GAUGAACGCUGGCGGCGCGCCUAAUACAUGCAAGUCGAGCGAACAGACGAGAGUGCUUGCACUCUCUGACGUUAGCGGCGGACGGGUGAGUAACACGUGGGUAACCUACCUAUAAGACUGGGAUAACUUCGGGAAACCGGAGCUAAUACCGGAUAAUAUUUAGCUUCGCAUGAAGCAAUAGUGAAAGACGGUUCUGCUGUCACUUAUAGAUGGACCCGCGGUGUAUUAGCUAGUUGGUGAGGUAACGGCUCACCAAGGCAACGAUACAUAGCCGACCUGAGAGGGUGAUCGGCCACACUGGGACUGAGACACGGCCCAGACUCCUACGGGAGGCAGCAGUAGGGAAUCUUCCGCAAUGGACGAAAGUCUGACGGAGCAAUGCCGCGUGAGUGAAGAAGGUUUUCGGAUCGUAAAACUCUGUUGUAAGGGAAGAACAAGUACGUUAGUAACUGAACGUACCUUGACGGUACCUGACCAGAAAGCCACGGCUAACUACGUG
rnacentral:rRNA from 1 species